UACGUAGGCAGCGAGCGUUGUUCGGAGUUACUGGGCGUAAAGGGUGUGUAGGCGGUUCUUUAAGUUUGGUGUGAAAUCUCCCGGCUCAACCGGGAGGGUGCGCCGAAUACUGAGGGACUAGAGUGCGGGAGAGGAAAGUGGAAUUCCUGGUGUAGCGGUGAAAUGCGUAGAUAUCAGGAGGAACACCGGUGGUGUAGACGGUUUUCUGGACCGUAACUGACGCUGAGGCGCGAAAGCAUGGGGAGCGAACGGG
rnacentral:rRNA from 1 species